UGAGGAAUAUUGGUCAAUGGGGGCAACCCUGAACCAGCCAAGUCGCGUGAAGGAUGAAGGUCUUAUGGAUUGUAAACUUCUUUUACACGGGAAUAAAGUGGGGGACGUGUCCCCCUUUGCAUGUACCGUGUGAAUAAGGAUCGGCUAACUCCGUGCCAGCAGCCGCGGUAAUACGGAGGAUCCGAGCGUUAUCCGGAUUUAUUGGGUUUAAAGGGUGCGCAGGCGGGAUGUUAAGUCGGCGGUGAAAUUUUGCAGCUCAACUGUAAAAGUGCCUUCGAUACUGGCCUCCUUGAGUGUGUAUGAAGUAGGCGGAAUUUGUGGUGUAGCGGUGAAAUGCUUAGAUAUCACGAGGAACUCCGAUUGCGCAGGCAGCUUACUAAGCCACAACUGACGCUCAUGCACGAAGGCGUGGGGAUCAAACA
rnacentral:rRNA from 1 species